AUGGAGGUCGACGGCGACGGCGAGACCAUGGCCAAGAAGAAGAUCCCGGUCCCGGAUGUUGCCCGGAUGGUCAGCGCCUGGGCGCUCUUCACCGCCGGCGUCUUCCUCGUCUCCUUCGCCCUCGCCUACCACCACCUCCCCUGCGACCUGGUAUGUAAUUGCGUCCAGCCGACGGACAUUACCUGGAUGGUGUCCUGCGCUGCGUCUCAGGCGGCCGCGGCGGCGCUGGCGCUGCUGCUCCCAGGCCGCCACCGCUGCGUCCGCCGUGCCCUCGUCUACCUCGUGCUCACGCUAGCCAUCGUCGUCCACUUUGUCCUUAUGAUGGCUGCCGAGUCCCACAACAUUGUCAUGAUCUACUGGACCAUCUUCUUCAUGGCGGGCGACUACGCCAGCGUCCUGGCCCUCAUGUUGGGAGGUGAGGAAGAUUGA
rnacentral:rRNA from 1 species